UGGGUUGUGGCUCAGCGGUAGAGCUGCUUGCCUAGCACGUGCAAAGCCCUGGGUUCUAUCCUCAGCACCACAU
rnacentral:tRNA from 1 species